CAUUAGUGAUUAAACUGUUGCCCUCUGUGCUGGCUCUGCAAGUGCACGUCGGUGACUUUCAUUCCAAUACCCUUGUGAACCUUUGGCCUCUUGCUAGCUUCGGCUGGCAGAGGAUUCUACAUACAAACUCGCAUGUAAUGAAACUCUUGUUGUGCACAAGCACUACUAUACAACUUUCAACAACGGAUCUCUUGGCUCUCGCAUCGAUGAAGAACGCAGCGAAAUGCGAUAAGUAAUGUGAAUUGCAGAAUUCAGUGAAUCAUCGAAUCUUUGAACGCACCUUGCACCCUUUGGCAUUCUGAAGGGUAUGCUCGUUUGAGUGUCAUUGUACUCUCACACUUCCGAUCUUGCAUUGGGAGCGGUGGACUUGGGUUUGCUGCCUUACCGUAGCUUACCUCAAAUGUGUUAGUGCAACUCUUGGUUGGACAUAGUACGGCGUGAUAAGUAUCUUCGCCGGUGCCUCGCAAUUGCGAGGGUGGCCGAUCGGGAUGUUGUGCUCCAAACCGUCUUCGGACAAUCUCUGACAACUUGACCUCAAAUCGAGUAAGACUACCCGCUGAACUUAAGCAUAUCAAUA
rnacentral:rRNA from 1 species